rnacentral:rRNA from 1 species
AUGGGCGCCGAACUAACUGUUACGGGGUGGUUCUUGUCGCCAAUCAUACGGGAGAUGCAGGACACCGCUUUGGCCUACAUAAAGGGGCAAUUCAGUUGGAAGAAAGAUCAGGAGAAGGACCUUGAACGCCUUGACAUCACCCUGACAGAGAUUCUGACCAUUGUGGAUGUCAUCGAGAAGAGGGAGAUAAAGGAUGGGAACCAGAGGAGGCUGCUAAGCAUACUUAAAGACGCCAUUUACGGCGCUGUCGAUGUGCUGGACGGCUUCCAGUACAUGGUCCUCAAGUCCAAGGUUGAUAGCCAGUCUGCGGAAAAUCACCAUAUAUAUGGUCGAAGAGAUGAGCUUCAUAAGCUGAGAGAUAUGUUGUUUGAGAUAAGCGACAGUAAUGCACCCGGACCCAGUAAUGCACCUGUACCCAGUGGCUCAAGCAUUGAUGUUAUAUCCAUUAUAGGUGUUGGUGGGGUUGGCAAGACUAGCCUUGCACGGUUGGCGUUCGGAGAUGAACAAGUACGCAUGAACUUCGGUCUCAGGAUGUGGGUUUCUGUAUCUGAUACUUAUGGUGAGAUUAGAUUAACAAGGGAUAUUUUGGAGUCUUUAACUGAUGCAAAUUAUCACACUGUUGCUGAAUUUCAUGAAUUGCAGAAUGCUCUUCGUCAAAAGAUAGCUGGAAAGAAAUUUCUCCUCAUACUAGACGAUGUUUGGUAUGACGAGGACAGAACAAAAUGGGAGAAUGAAUUACUAUGGAGCAAAGUGUUGUCUUCUUUGAAUACUGGACUGGAAGGGUCGAAGAUUUUGGUGACAACUCGAGCUGACAAAGCUUGCAGUAUCCUGCAUGCUAGGACACCCCCUUUACGUUUGGGAGGAUUGGACAGAGAUGAUUACUGGUUGCUAUUCAGAAACCAUGCUUUUGGUGAGAAAUACCCAGGACAAUUUCCAGAACUCAAGGAAGUAGGAAUACAAAUUUGUCGCAGAUUGAAUGGUUUGCCUCUAGCAGCAAAGAUAAUCGGUCGCCUAUUGAAUGCUGACUUGGAUGUCAGACACUGGAAGAAAGUUCUGGAUAGUGAUAUAUCUGAUGAUGUUAUGAAGGUUCUAAGGUUGAGUUACCAGCACUUACCUGUCCAAUUGAAGCUAUGCUUUAGCUUCUGCAGCCUUUUCCCGAAGGACUGGCGUUUUGAACCUCAAAGGCUCACUGAAAUGUGGAUUGCACAGGGUUUUGUGCAGAGGGAGGAUUCAUAUGACACUGAUACAAAUAUUGAGGAUGUGGCAAAGGGCUACUUCAAUGAACUUGUGCAAAGAUCAUUCUUUGAGCGGUCAUUGUUGGACCUCCCAACAGAGUAUGUCAUGCAUGAUUUGAUCAAUGACUUGGCUCGGAAUGUCUCGAAGGACGAGUAUGUCAGGGUUGAAAAUGAUAAACAAAAGGAGAUCCCACCAAACAUUCGUCAUCUAUCAAUAUCAGCAAAUUUGUUAGGCAGCAUGAAGAAAACAGAGUUGAGAAAUUUGCGCACCUUGAUUGUUUGGAAGAAAACAUGGUCUUGCUUAAAAUUGUCCCUUCCAGAUGAUGUAUUCAAGAAGUCCAAGAGCAUCCGUGUGCUGGACUUGAGUGGUUGUUGCCUGGAUAGGCUGCCGACAUCAGUGGAAGUUCUUAAACAUCUGCGUUAUUUCGCUUUUCGGGUUCCUCAGAGGCCGUGGCAAACAUCAUUGAUUUGGCUUUAUCACCUGGAGGUCUUGGUCACAAGAGGGCACUCCUGCCGGGAAAGUGAAUGCGCUAACCUUCCUGCAAACAUGAAGAGGAACUUGCUCAAAUUAAGAAAAGCUUUCCUUCUCAAUGUUGGCGGCGCCACGAUAUCUGGUUUCGGGGGACAAACUCUUCUCCGUGGCCACGGGGAGUUCCAUGUCAGGAAGGAGAGUGGCUACAGACUAGGUGAGUUGAAGGAGAUGAAAAAUAUUAGUGGACAGCUAAAAAAUUAG